rnacentral:rRNA from 1 species
GACGAACCGUGCGAACGUUGUUCGGAAUCACUGGGCUUAAAGGGCGCGUAGGCGGGCUGCCAAGUCCGGGGUGAAAUCUUUCGGCCCAACCGGAAAAGUGCCUUGGAUACUGGCGGCCUGGAGGGAGGCAGGGGCGGAUGGAACUUCCGGUGGAGCGGUGAAAUGCGUUGAUAUCAUUUGGAACGCCAAUGGUGAAAACAGGUAGCUGGGAGUGUGCUGACACUGAGACACGAAAGCCAGGGGAGCGAACGGG